rnacentral:rRNA from 1 species
AUUGAACGCUAGCGGCAGGCCUAACACAUGCAAGUCGAGCGGGGUUUUCGGACCUAGCGGCGGACGGGUGAGUAAUGCGUAGGAAGCUGCCCGAUAGAGGGGGAUACCAGUUGGAAACGACUGUUAAUACCGCAUAAUGUCUACGGACCAAAGUGUGGGACCUUCGGGCCACAUGCUGUCGGACUCGCCUACGUGGGAUUAGCUAGUUGGUGAGGUAAUGUCUCACUAAGUCGACGAUCUCUAGCUAGUUUGAGAGGAUGAUCAGCCACACUGGAACGGAGACACGGUCCAGAAUCCUACAGGAGGCAGCAGUGGGGAAUAUUGGAACAUGAGCGCAAGCCUGAUCCAGCCAUGCGGCGUGUGUGAAGAAGGCCUUCGAGUUGUAAAGCACUUUCGGCGAGGAGGAAGGGAUGUAUGUUAAUAGCAUGCAUUUUUGACGUUACUCGCAGAAGCAGCACCGGCUAACUCUGUGCAAGCAGCCGCGGUAAGAC